AUGAAAGAUAGCCACCUCUUUCUUGUAAGAAAAAUUGAAGAGAAAUGAAGCUCAAGAAUACCUCAAUGAAACGUUAAAAUUCCAUGAAGCCUUGUUCCAUUUGCACAAUGCAAGACUUUCAAAAACCUUUCCUUCUGAAAACUCUUCUUCCAAAGCUAAUCGACUAGACCCAUCCAAAGUCCUAAAAUUGAUAUCGUUCAGCUUAGUCCUCCAAGUUGAAUCAUCUUGGUAUAACUUGUCGAACUAAUUUCUAAUCUUCUUUCUCAAUUUCUCGUUCUUUUCCACAACUUGUCAUCAAUUUCCAUUUCCACAUAAUUAUUUCUUCUAUGAAUAUUGGCCAUGCAAUGAAAAUAACGUGUGUUCCAGUUCCCCUCCUUGAUCAACCGGGCUCUUGAUUUUUGCCUCCACGAAGCGUCCUCCAUUUAUAUUCUGGUAGCUAAUUCAAAUUUUAAGGAUUCUCUACGAGUCAAAUCUUCAGUGAACAAAACCUCCUCUACCAUUGCUCCCAUCUCCCAAUGCCACCAAUUUUGAUUUCCUAAAUUAAUAUUAGAGGCAGAAACCGCCUGGAAGCACAAUAAAAGACAUAUGAGAUUUAAUAAUGCACCUUCUCUAGUUCACAAAACAUUAAGGUAUCGUUUGCAAAAAAUACGUGGAUUACUUCCUCGGAAUGCUCACCUUCAUCCAUCUCGAGUCCUUUACAUAAACCCAACUUUCUAGCCCUUAAUAACAAUUUAUUUGAAGCUCCCAUGCAACUAUAAAUAGUAAAAAAGAUAAUAGAUCACAUUUUCUAAGACCUCUGGAUGCCCUAAAAAAGAAGAUAAACCCCUAUUCACCAUGACGGCAAAAGAAGUUGUGGUGAUGCAGAAAUUUAUCCACUUACAGCAUUUAUAUCCCAUGACCAAUCUCUUCAACAUAUAUCAAAUGGAGCAUCAAUUAGCAUGAUCAUAGGCUUUUUCCAUAAGAAGUUUACAUAGGAUCCUUUUUCUAUUCUAAAAAAUUAUAUCAUCCACAAUCUUAUUGGCCACCAGAACUGUAUCCAUAAUUUGUCUUCCUUCCACAAAAGCAUAUUGCACCCACCAACUUAUCCAUCGCCUCAACCAUUCUUCUAGCUAACACGCUUUAAAUGAUCUUGAAAACACUCUCGAUUAUGUUGAAAGGAAAAAAAUCCUUAAUACUAACCCCUUCCACUUUAAGAAUUAGUACCAAGAAAGAAGAGUUUAAAGAUUUCACAAAAGUCCUUGUCUCAUACGACUCUUCAAAUCGCUCUAUAAUAUCCUUUCCCAUUACAUGCCAGAGGCAAGAUAGGUAGGAAAGUGAUCAGAGAUAUUUGUAAUUCUUCCCAAGUAACCUUUUCUAAUAUUAUUAAACUAAAAAAUACUAAUACUAUUAAGAAUACGAAAGCCAAAUAUAAAAAAUAAUAACAAUAAAAUCUUAAAGUCACUAGAGGGAAGAUAAGAAGCUUCUAAAUAGUACAAUAGUUUUGCAGAAUUACAAUUUUAAUCUAUUUAGAAAUCUAAACUUAAUCCAUUCUGCAUCGAUAAUACCCUGCAUAGCUUUUUUUGGAGGGGAUGAUAAAGAGAUAAACAUUAACAUAUUUAAUCUAUACAUGCCUUUAUUUAUUUCUAUUCCUAUAAAAUUAACUUUUGUAUUGUAUCCCAUAUACAUCUUCUGCCAUGCUAUCAUAUUGUGAAUUAAAGAGCCAAUUUAUUCAUAAAUUGUACAUGUGAGAUGUCAGAAUAAGAGACUAGAGAGACUGAAUGAGAAUAAGGGGCUAGGAGUUUGAAGUAAAGUUUGUUAGUUUUAAUUAAGGAUUUUAAAUUCUUUUUUUUUUUUAAAUUAAAUAACUAAUUAGCAUGAAUAAAAUAAGAACUAUGUUUUCAGUGCAAAUCUAGAAUUUUUAACUUGAGAAAAUUAGUUUCAAUAUCAAUUAUGAUUUCACCAAUUUUGACUGCAUUUUUGGCCAGUUCAAGAUAUUUGCACCUAUCGCAUUUUAUUUUCUUUUUCAAUAGAGAAAGAAACUUUAUUAAAAUAGGAGAAAAAAAUUACAGAACCGGAGAAUAAGACAUCCUCCAAAAUAGAACAAAUAAAAAUAAGUGUAGGCACAGAAUGCUCCUCAUGGAUAGAGAGAGAGAAAUAUGUAUCCAAGGACUAUGUGCUAAGGACAAAAACGUCCCAGUUUCAUUGUAGAUUCAAGAUGCUUGUUUCGUGAUAUAGUAUUUUGUUGUUAGAGUGCUAUGAUCCAUACCAGGUAGCAUUAGCCGGUAAUUUAAGAUA
rnacentral:lncRNA from 1 species